UUGUGUUCAACAGUGAAGCUCACCAUUCCUCUCUUUGAUCACACGUAGGGCUUGAAGCUGCAGCUCCAUGUUCUUCUGAACCAUCAGCGAGCGAAACAUCUGGAAGUCAUCUGUGGCCAGGACUGGCUGGAACACCGACUAAACCAAAGAGAGGUAGCCGACGAUGCUCUCCACCACCCACUCGCUGUCGUCCUCGGCCAUGUUGGCUGCUGCUGCCGCCGGGGGAUGUCAGAGGCGGCAGGCCGGCAACAAGCUUCGCUUCUCCGGCCUGAGCGCGUGCAGCUCCUCUACGAGACGUAAGCCUGAGCCUUGGUGUUGUUGAAGUUGAGCUCCAGAGGUGAGUCCUUGUUGAAGAGGGCAAAGAGGCGCUUGGACCAGAAGGAGGGAAUGAAUUCUUUGGACUGCAGCCCCCAGUAGAUGUUGAACACCCUGUGGAGGUCUAACGCCAGACAGCUGCAAUUGUACACCAGCACGCCCAGCUCCUUCCUCUGUAUGUGGCCUUCGCUGGAAAAAGUUUGGACACCCCUGAGCUACGGUAUGUGUAUGCAUCAAAGAUUAGGUGAUCGUACUUGGUAUCCACUACAGUAUAUGUGUGUGUGCAUGUUACAUACAAUGGCCAGGGAUCUCCAAUCCAUGCUGCCACUGCCGAUGUAGAAGUGUCUCCUGUCGACCACCCAGAAGGAUGAGUGGAGGUGACCCUUGGUCAGCACUGUGGUGUUCACAAAGUGAACCUCUGCGCCUGCAACAAGCAUGAAGAGGGUGGCUGGCUGGAAGCUGGACUCGUAUUCGGAGGAGUUGAGGAGCCACAGCGGCGACACGAUCUCCACAACGCGGAUGGCUUGAUCCAGUCACCUGAGCAUGCUUACUGCAAACUCGGAGUCUUCACUGAAGCAGCCGGGCUAGUUGCUGGGACGCUCGGAGGAUGACAUUCAAUUUACAGGCCAGCGAAAUUGAUGUGCGACUGUGACUGAUGCAGCAGAUGCCAUUGUUACUGGGUCAGGCUGAACAGAAGUGACAACAUCGCUACAAAUCAGCAGUUUAGAAAUAGCCUACCUGAAGGCAAUCAGUGCAGUGCUGGUAUCGUUUACCUGCAAGCACCACACCAUAUUAGGCCUGAAAGAUCACCGACGUGCAGGAAAAGGCAGAAAAACAGCCACACGCUGGCUGAAUAGUCCUGCUGCUGCACGGCCGAAAUGAUGCUACUGGCAGGGAUCCCAGUGGCCGGGAUUCCGAACCCAAACCCCUUUAGGUCCUGCAGGCCAACCACCGGACCCCGUUUCCCUCGCUGAUCCAUGGUUCUGGAUGUCUCUGAUCUCACGGGAGGCAAUGGGGCGUACUUCUGAUUGUGGCAUGGCCGCACUUUUGGUUUCUUCUAUUCAUUGCGCAACUAAAGUGGUGAUUUAUCCUCCAGAAGUCUCUUGUGAUGGGAUGCUGAGGUAAAAAAAAAAAUGCAGUAGUUGCAAGAAUAGUCUGUAAAAAAUAUUCCUCAAUGGUGUCUUCAUGUAGCUUCAUGUCCCCAUGGAGUGUAGGACUGAACGCACGUUAGUCUGGACUGUAGGCUGAGCUAGACUCGCUUUUUAGCUGAGCACAACAGCACAUCAGCUUCAUCACACUGAUGAAGUUCCAGCGAGGCAUCCCCAGUGCGAGGGGGAGGGAGGGUUGAGACCAGGAGGGAGGGGUGGAGGAAGAGAACAAGAAAGUGCCUGAAAAGAAAUCGAGCGAGUGCGGGUUCAAGUGAUGGACACCCAUACUCUUGGCUUCAUUUUUUAAAUUGGAUUUUUAAAAUCACUUAUGCUAUUUUUGAAGAAAAAAGAGAAAACAUGAUGAAAUAUUUUGACAAUUAUUAGAAGGUCCUGACAAAAUUUUCAAUCAUAAAAUUGCAUUUAAUGAUAACUUUGGUUCUUUAAGUAGCUUAAAUUUGUUGCGCCUCUCGUGGUUUGGAGGUUUGAUGCCUUGCUGAAUUUGAAAUGUUAUUUUUUAAAGGUAUUUUACUGCUUUUAACACUUUACAUGACAAUUACAGAGAAAUGUAAACCUAUUUUUGAAAUGAAAUAAUUCAUUCAGUAAUUAUCAUCAUUUGUCUCCCGUUGUGUUUACUGUAAUUAUAACGUUUCCAAUAUCAUCCCUUCUCGUUGCCGAUCACAUGGUUCGAAAGUUUAAAAAAGUUUAAAUUGAACGAAAAUUGGGUUCAAAAUUCAGCUGUUAUGUGAUGCGUUGCAGCUCAAUUUUGUUAUGCCCUCUGGUGGUUUGGAGGUUUAAGGUUUUAAUGCCUUGCUUCGAAAAGAGUGAGACAGUUCAAGUGAGAGCCGCAAAAAUGCUCCGCUUUGUGAUUGAAAAAAAAAAUCUAGAACAAUUUUGAGGUAUUUUAUAAUCUAUUGUGAUAUGUUACAAGACUUUUAUACAUACAUAACUUACAAAAAAAAAUCUAUAUUUUUUUUCUUUGGCUACGAGCAAUGGCAUGGUUAUAAUACCAUAAACUAUAGUGAGGUUUAAGCUACCAAAUAUCACUUGCUUGCCCAAUAAAUGGGAAAUUCAGUCUUUUUCCAAAUACUGGAUAUAUUUUAUGGUACAUCUUAAAUCUGUUGGGCUCCUCGUAGGGUGGUAGGGGUGUCACGAGAGCUCGUGUCAUUUGAUCUUGCAAGAUUAAAACGUGACUAGAUUUCUCGUUCAGAAAAAAAAAGUCU